rnacentral:lncRNA from 1 species
GUUUUUCGUUUAUGUUCAAAAAUAUUUACUGAGAAAAUGUAAUGUACUGUUUAAGGUGUUCCAAAUGAAGACGCGUCAUUACCGUCGAAAGAUAUAUGUACAAUGUUAGUGUCUACAGUCCUUGCUACAGGUAUGCUUUAAAUAAGAAUCAGUUGAUUUUACAUUAAAAAAAAACUAGUUUUCUGUCACUCUUAGAAUCAUUUUCAUAACAGGCUCGACAACCGCAAUAAUUAUGUUGGUAAAAAUACUGAAUCGUUUACCUUUAACUUUUUUUGUCAUCGGCUAUUGAUAACAGUGAUUUUACGCUCACCCAGUCUGUCAGAGGCCUUCCAAUGGGGAAUAAAAUAGAAUAAAAGAGUAAAGUACAUGCAGGUGCACUAGAAGAAAAACAGAAAGUUUAAGUAUUCAACAUUUAAAUCAAUUUUUUAUCAUUUAAAUCAGUGAAUUCAAAUACAUUAUGUAAAUGCAUGUUACAAACAAUAUUAAAAAUACUAAUGGCGUGAGAAGUGUCAUAUGUAACAAAACAUAACUUUACAAUAAGCAAUAACAUAAAGUACAAGCACUUGUAUCAAGAAACUAAAAUCUGACGAUAUUCGUUAAGUAUGAGAAUGGCAGACUUUUCGUUAACUUGAGUUUUCCUUAAUGAAUAAUGACAAAUAUAUACAAAUAUAUAUAUAUAUAUAUAUAUACUUCAUGUAUCAUCCUGCUGACUUCCAGUUUGUUUUAAAAUUCAGUCUACGAGAAACAUAUAAUUUCAUUUGCAAUUCAAAAAGGACGGUUUUUCUACUUUCUUUUUCCUUUAAAUUAAAGUAUUUGCAUAUUUCAGCAUCCAUUGGUGAUGUUGAUGGAGAUGGAGUCUUAGAUUUGAUAGCAAGGAUUGACAAGUCUGGAGACAAAUUUAAUCGAAAAAAACGCAUGUUUUCCACAAUAAGUUCUAGCACUGUAGUAAAAAUUAGUUUGCAUGAUUAUUUAAGGCAAAGCAAAACAAGAGUUAAUGUUGAUGCUGUGCAUACAUUUAAGGAACAGCAUUUAGAGAAAAACUUGAUAGAUGUAGAUCUAUUGCCAUCAGGUCAGCAGAUAUGGACAAGCUAUAUGGGGAAAAUGGGAAAUGGAUAUUAUGACAUGGCGUAACUAUGUAGACAAAGGGGGAAUUAAUG